rnacentral:lncRNA from 1 species
CAUGUAUAUCUAAUUUUCAGUUAGAUACUAUAAAUUGUGGAAUUUUUAACUCGUAUUUGUAUUUGAGAGCGAAAGAAAGAGAGAGAAAGAGAUAGUGAGAGAGAAAAAGGUUAAUGACUGUGGGUUUCCCCGAUCUCUAGGAAAAUUCCAGAGCUGGUUCAGAUGCUCCUUGAGAAUGAUAUUUGAUCCCUUGAAAUCAUCAUCAAGGGUUAUAUAUUUCGAAAUAGAGUGGUGCUGCUAUAGAGGUCAUUAGUCAUAUACAUAAUAUAGGUGACAUAUUAGGACUUUAGUAAAUACGCUACGCACUCUCAAGGUGAUAUACUUUAAAAUUUUGACAUUCGAUAUCACUCGGAAACAUGAAAAUCCUAAACAAUAAUUUGCCAUUGGAUAUCACCCGGACACAUAAAUAUCCUAAGCAAGUAGCUGAACACAUCACACCUUUCUACAGCACACAACAAAGCACAAGAUCUGAUUCCCAAAAUGGUCAGCCUUAAAGAAGUUCUGAUCCUGUCCGUUUUGGUGGUCGCUAUGGUAGUUUCCCCUGCAGACGCGGUUCCGACUGGAUUGG